rnacentral:rRNA from 1 species
AGUCAACAUGCCCAGGGGACGUGGAUAACCUCGGGAAACUGAGGAUAAACCGCGAUAAGUCACUACUUCUGGAAUGGGUAAUGACUUAAAUCUAUAUGGCCCCUGGAUUGGACUGCGGCCGAUCAGGCUGUUGGUGAGGUAAUGGCCCACCAAACCUGUAACCGGUACGGGCUCUGAGAGGAGGAGCCCGGAGAUGGGCACUGAGACAAGGGCCCAGGCCCUAUGGGGCGCAGCAGGCGCGAAACCUCUGCAAUAGGCGAAAGCCUGACAGGGUUACUCUGAGUGAUUUCCGUUAAGGAGAUCUUUUGGCACCUCUAAAAAUGGUGCAGAAUAAGGGGUGGGCAAGUCUGGUGUCAGCCGCCGCGGUAAUACCAGCACCCCGAGUGGUCGGGACGUUUAUUGGGCCUAAAGCAUCCGUAGCCGGUCAUGCAAGUCCUCCGUUAAAUCCACCUGCUUAACAGAUGGGCUGCGGAGGAUACUACAAGGCUAGGAGGCGGAAGAGGCAAGCGGUACUCAGUGGGUAGGGGUAAAAUCCUCUGAUCCAUUGAAGACCACCAGUGGCGAAGGCGGCUUGCCAAUACGCGCUCGACGGUGAGGGAUGAAAGCUGGGGGAGCAAACCGGAUUAGAUACCCGGGUAGUCCCAGCUGUAAACGAUGCAGACUCGGUGAUGAAUUGGCUUCAUGCCAAUUCAGUGCCGCAGGGAAGCCGUUAAGUUUGCCGCCUGGGGAGUACGGUCGCAAGACUGAAACUUAAA